UGACAUAUGACUGAAACAAUAGGAAUUCGUAAGAGAGAUGGAUAGACAAAACGACUGUGAGAAAUGAAUGGUAUAUUCCCCAGAUUGAAUUUAGCCAUGGGGUGAUUAUUUGUUGGAGCUUCGGAAUGCAGACAGACAUCUAUAUUGAUAUUCAACAGCAAAACUGAAUGGUCUGGCACAUUUUUUUACAUGUAUUUUGAAUACCUAAUGACAUCAUGACAUCAAAUACAUGUAAGACAUUAAAAUCAGUAAAUUAUUGCAGAUUUUCAUGACUAAUAAGGAUAAAACAGUUUUCGAAAAAAAAUCAGCAACCUCAUUGGACAAUAGACCUUCACACUGGCCUCCAAAAAAUAAUAGCCAACUUUUUAAUCUAUAAAAAAUAAUAGUCAAAACUGAUGCGGACCUUUGCGUUCAGUUUUCAUAAAAAUAAUAAAUUUUAACAUAUAUAUUUUCUUAAUUGCUUUAGUAGGCUCCAACAGGGGGUGUGGGAAUCAGGGGUCCCACUAUAAAUGUUUAAAAUGCUAAAUUCUGAUGGAUUUUGAAGGCAUUUACAGGACACAUAUUUAGUUUGGGUAAGGCAGCUGAAUUGGUUCAUGAUCUUUUGACCACAACUGCACUUAAAUUGCCCGAAAAGUACAAAACAAUCAGGUCGCAAAAAUACAUGAUAUUUGGCAUCUAUGCACUCUAUUGAAUUACAGUUUUUUGUCAACAAGUUUUUGAUGAUUUAUUCAAUAAAUAUACUAUCUUUUUUUAAA
rnacentral:lncRNA from 1 species